rnacentral:lncRNA from 1 species
AGCUUCAGUUGCCUUCCAGGGUUCCCGGGUUUCUCUUUGUGUUUUAUUUUUACUUGCUCCUUUUAUGUUUGCUUUGCAUCAUGUCAUCAUGUCAUAAAUCUUUUGCAUCUCAUCUAAAUAAAUGGCAUGGAUCUUUGAUCCAUUUAAACCGAGGGAAUUCACUUGGUGAUUCUCUUUAUAACAUAUCCUCCCGUUAUUAGGGAGCUAUUAUAAAUAUUUCCAUUCUUUUGAAUUUACCCAUGAACACACUUACAAAUAAUCACAUGCCUUUUCUCGCUUCGAGUUUGGUCCCCAAACUUUGCCUUUAUCCUUUCUCCAUUUUCCGGAGUUCCACCAAUAUUCCAAACAUUCUUGGACUCUCCAAAAAUGUUUUCCUAAUUCAAACUCAUUUGAAUCACAUUCAAAUGUGUUCGAAUGCAAUCCUUCCAAACGGUGCCAAAUGUAUUUUUCUUGGAUCAAGCUCAGUUUUAUGAGUCCAAGAAAAUUGGCGCCCUGCUCAAUUUCUUCUCCUAUCUCUCUCUACAUUUCUUAUUCCUUGGUUUAUUUGUUAAAUCAGGAAAUAAAGGAGUAAAAUAGAAUUAGAGGGAGAGAGAAGAGAGCCAGCCCAGCCAACCUCUUGGGUCUGUCCAUCUAGACCGGCCCAUUUGCGCAGCUAGCCCAGCCUACCUAACCCUCUCUGAUGGGCCGGCCUCCCUGGCCCAAGAAGUCCCGCAGCCCACUGCUAACCCUAGCCGAUCGCAACCACCCUCUCCAUCUCUCAUUCCCUCCUCCUCCCGUCCUUUUUCCUCGGCGCCGCGACCACACACGUAUCGAGCACCAGAGAGAGACCCGCAACCCAAUCCCUCUCCCCUUGUUCGUCUCCUCCCUCAUCUUCUCAGUGUGACCAAGGGGGGAUCCCAAUCCCCAUGGCCAUGUACCGCGCCGCCGCACGCCCAUAGCCAGCGCCAGAGGAACGCCCGGGCCCGUUCUGCUACAAGCCGCGCCGCAGGCCAUGCCUCGACCGGAUCCUGCAGCCCCACGCUGUCCAUCUCGUGAACCACGCCGCCCCGUCAACCCACCUCGUCCUCGCGUCUCCCUUCCUCGUCCCUCACCCGAGCUCCUGGAGCCCGAGCCAUCCCGGAGCGUCUCCUCCUUGCUGCUUCGCUUGUCGUCGAGCAGGAGCUCCGCCGCCUCAAGUCCUGGUCUGGCCGCCAUCAACAGCUCCCUCCCCGACCUCCGGCCUUGUCCAGGACAUCCCCGCCGUCGCAUCUCCAGCCGCGUUGGCUCGUCCGCCUCUGCUCCGCACCACAAGGCCCUUUGCGUCCGUGGCUUCGCCUCCUCUUCUCGUCGCCUGUCCGCCGACGACCACCAGGAGCACUGCUACCUCCACCUUGGUGCUCUUCAUCUGCCUCCUCCCUGUGCAAAAGCUCCUGUCUGAGCCGUCCCCUUCGUUCAACUUGGUUGCUGCCGCCGCUGCAUUAAUCUUCCCUGGUGCAGCUCAUUUCCAAUGAAUGGCAACCUAGAUGGUUACCUCCACGCCAAGUACCAUGACCCACAAGACGGAGAAUGCCAAGCACCCCUUCGAACUAUCAAGACCGCAGGACCACGCGGACGACUACCGCACUGGAACGUCAAGUACCUCUGCCGAAGACUCCCACCGAAGACACGUGUACGACUACUACAUAAACGAGUACCGAACGAAUCACCAAGACCUACGAGAACGACUUCGUGGACCGACAAGUACCACGAUGUCCGUCGAUCGCCAAGUACCCCUUCGGAUACGCAAGUUCCUCGAAGGUCCACCGAGGCCUAGUACGACUAUAGGACCGGAACAAAGUACCACGAUGACCGUUGACAUGUACCACUACACCGCACCAAAACGUCAAAACCGUCCCGAUAUUGCCAAGUACCACUUCGGUUUCGGAAUGCGACGAGUACAACGACUACCCUCGAGGACCUUGGUUCCAUCAAGUUCGACUACUUCCACUACGGCAUGAGUACAACUACCACCUCUACGAACAUGGCGAGACCGUCUACUUCCGCUAAGAACUUGAUCCGUCCCGAAAGGUCCCACCUUGAAGGUAUAACCCCGAGACGACGCCCGUGAACGAACGAAUGCAUGUUGGAUGAGAUACACCCUUUGUCUGCAUCGUGUCCGUAUUGUCAGUCGUUUCCAUGCCACUAACUCGUGGGACACCCAGUAUCCGGGAGUGCCCCACAAUCUGUUGCAUGCAUCCGCACACUUAUCCUUUGCAUCGGUUUCUCAAUCGAGUUAACGGAACUGGAAUGUUGCCGCGGCAUCAUUUCCGUUUCGUUGCCAUGGCACCCCUUUCUUUCUACCACGGUGACAAAUGCUCUCAUCACCCUCAUGUCAACAUUCUCUUGAACUUGCAUAACUUGAACAUGACAUCCGCAUCAUGAUAACAACAUUUAAUAUGUUUAAAAUUGUUGUUGCACCAAAUUGCUAAAUGCAUAUGGGGAUUUACCAGAAUUGUUGUUUGAUGGUUUCGGCCCCAUUUAAAUUGCUUAGAUUGUGUAGUUUACUUUGCUUCACCUCUUGCCAUGGUUAACAACAUUUAAUAUUGUUGGGUACAUAAACAAGAUCGAUCUAAAUAAGUCAUCUGGUGUUUUCUUCAAUAUGCAACUCCGUUGCAUAUUGAGCUCCACUUAAUUUGUAGGAUUGCUUGUGCACUUUGCCAUGCCAUGUAUCUUUAAACCGAACAUGCAUCAUAUUUAGUUGUGCAUCAUUCCAUGUUUAUGUGGUGGUUGUUUACUAUGUUGUUUGCUUCUUUCCGGUGUUGCUUCUUCGGGUUGGUUCCGAUAACGUCAUGUUUGUGAGGAACCGUUCGACUACGCCCGUUUGUCCCCUUCAUGGACUCGUUCUUCUUCCUUGCGGGAUUUCAGGCAAGAUGACCAUACCCUCGAAAUCACUUCUAUCUUUGCUUUGCUAGAUGCUCGCUCUUUUGCUAUGCCUAUGCUGCGAUACCUACCACUUGCUUAUCAUGCCUCCCAUAUUGUUGAGCCAAGCCUCUAACCCACCUUGUCCUAGCAAACCAUUGCUUGGCUAUGUUACCGCUUUGCUCAACCCCUCUUAUAGCGUUGUUAGUUGCAGGUGAAGAUUGAAGUUUGUUCCUUGAUGGAACAUGGAGAUGUUGUUCCUUGUUGGAACAUGUUUACUUGUUGGGAUAUCACAAUAUAUCUUAUUUAAUUAAUGCAUCUAUAUACUUGGUUAAGGGUGGAAGGCUCGGCCUUAUGCCUGGUGUUUUGUUCCACUCUUGCCGCCCUAGUUUCCGUCAUAUCGGUGUUAUGUUCCCGGAUUUUGCGUUCCUUAUGCGGUUGGGUUAUAAUGGGAACCCCUUGACAGUUCUCCUUGAAUAAAACUCCUCCAGCAAGGCCCAACCUUGGUUUUACCAUUUGCCACCUAGCCUUUUUCCCUUGGGAGUCGCGCAUCCCAAGGGUCAUCUUAUUUUAACCUCCCCGGCCAGUGCUUCUCUAAGUGUUGGUCCAACCCAAAGCACCGUGCAGGGCCAUCCCUUGGCAACUUGGGUUACGUCGGCUCCUGUACGCUUAGCUUAUCCGGUGUGCCCUGAGAACGAGAUAUGUGCAGCUCCUAUCGGGAUUUGUCGGCACAGCAGGUGGUCUUGCUGGACUUGUUUUACCAUUGUCGAGGAUGUCUUGUAGAACCGGGAUACCGAGUCUGAUCGGAAUGUCCCGGGAGGAGGUCUAUUCCUUCGUUGACCGUGAGAGCUUGUCAUGGGCUAAGUUGGGACACCCCUGCAGGGUUUUGAACUUUUGAAAGCCAUGCCCGCAGUUAUGGACAUAUGGGAAUUUGUUAAUGUCCGGUUGUAGAAAACUUGAAGUUGACCUUAAUUAAAAUACAUCAACCGCGUGUGUAACCAUGACGGUCUCUUCUCGGUGGAGUCCGAGAAGUGAACACGGUGUUGGAGUUAUGCUUGACGUAGGUUGUCUAGGAUCACUUCUUGAUCAUACUUUUAUCGACCGUGCUUUGCCUUCUCUUCUCGCUCUCAUUUGCGUAUGUUAGCCACCAUAUAUGCUAGUCACUUGCUGCAGCUCCACCUCAUACCUUUAUCUUACCCAUAAGCUUAAAUUGUCUUGAUCGCAAGGGUGUAAGAUUGCUGAGUCCCCGUGACUCACAAAUACUUCCAAAACCAGCUUGCAGGUGCCGUUGAACCAUGCAGGUGACGCAACCAAGCUCAAGGAGGACCUCGAUGAAGAUCUUGUCCUUUGUGUUGUUUCGUUCUAGUUGAUCAGUAGUGGUGCCCAGUUGGGGUCGAUCAGGGAGCAUGUCGCAUUUGGGGCUCUUCUUUUAUUUUGGGUUCCGUAGUCGGACCUUGAUUGUAUUUGGAUGAUGUAAUGCUUUAUUCAUGUAUUUGUGUGAAGUGGCGAUUAUAAGCCAACUAUGUAUCUCUUUCCCUUAUGUACUACAUGGGUUGUGUGAAGAUUAUCUCACUUGCGACAUUGCUUUCAAUGCGGUUAUGCCUCUAAGUCGUGCUUUGACACGUGGGAGAUAUAGCCGCAUCGAGGGCGUUACAAGUUGGUAAUCAGAGCCAUCCCCAACCUUAGGAGCCCCCACUGCUUGAUCUUUUUAGCAGUCAUUGUCGAGUCUAGAAAAAUGUUUUGAGUCAUUUAGGAAUUAUAUAUCAGAGAGUUUAGGAAUUCUUUUACUCCCCAGUCCCUUCAUCGCUCUGGUAAGGCAUCCUGACAUAGAGUUUUGACUCUUCUCUUCUCAAAUUUCACUAAAAUUUUUUUAGGAUCACGCGGGUAUCUUGGAAUCGUUCCGAUCGAUUUGUGACGAGAACAUUGUUCUUGGUGCCUCCUGACAUUUAGGGGUUGUGGCAGUGUCCCGGGGAGUUGAGCUCCGAGGUGUUGUCGUCACAAUUUUAUCGUUGCAGUUCUGGAAUACCUAAGUUUAGUUUCGCCGACAUCGAAAAUCUCUUUUAUGCAGUUGUUGGUGAGAUAACCUCGACGCCACCCAGUACUGGGGCGGGAUUUCGGGAGUAUUGCCAUAACUUGUAUAACGGAUGCUUUUCGAAGGUUGAGGUAGACGAUUUCCAAAGGUUUCUUGGUUAUGUGUUGAAGGAUGGAUACAGCUGGAUGUAGGAUUUGCUAGUUUUGGGUGAGAUAUUAUGCUUCCCCUGUAUCCCCAACACCUGAUUGCAUAACCGGAAAGUUUCGGGAGUUUAUAAGUGGGAAUUCAAGUAGCUCUUAGGAAAUCUUUCCGACAGAUGUAUGAUAUGAAAUUGGGGUUCGACGUCUAGUGGUCCGCCUAUUCACGGUCGGUUUUACAGUGGUCUUGUUGUGUCUUAAAGAGUCCUUGGCUAUGCCGACUCGGGGACGCUUCAUAUGUCAUGUGCACUUCCUUGUACAUGAUGGUGUUGUACGAUCGAGCCCGUGUAGGCCCCACCACGAAAACUUCAGACGAAAUCUCUAUCAUAUGUUUGUUCCGGCUUAUUCUGCAAGCCAAUCCUUUGUUUUUUGUUUUGAGUUGUGGUAUUCGAGUUGCUUCGAAGUCAAAUGUUGAUUCCAUCCCUUGUCUAAGUGGUGUUCUCAUAUUCCUAUGUGAAUACUAAUCCUUCUUGAUCAUCGAGUUUGUCAUGUCAAUCCUUUUCAACCGGCGUGUUUUCUCUUCAAGUGGAUCCGAUCAUUUCAACAUUAGUAAGAUCAAUUAUCAUUUUUUCUCAACGGUGUUCAUUUCAUCCAUUCCAAAUUGUCUUUCUUUUUCCCACCCUCCCUCCCUUUGUUUCUUCAAGGACUCAGAUUUCUUCAUCAAGUAUCCAUUUUAUUGAUGGGAAGUCUCUCCAUGUUUUCCGUCAAUGUUCUUAUCCGGUGAUUCUCAUGAAGAUUCUAAUGGAGCUUCAAGUUCAUCAUUCUUCGUUCUUUUUCUUCUUCGGUGGAUUCAAGCCAAGCCUUGUGGAUCAUAUCCUUUUUCCUCGUUUCAAAUACCUUUUCUUACCGGUGCACCUCUUUAUCAUUAACCUCUCGCUAUUCAUUUGUUCCGGAGUGCUCAAGAUAUCUCGAAGAUUCGUGUUUUCCACUCUGCAUUCAUUCAAGAUCUUUCGAGGUUGUUAUCUCAUUCAAGUCAUUUAAUUCAACUGGUGCAACCUCUCUUUUUAAUCUUUUCAACGGUGUUUCUUUUGAGUGGGCCCUAACCCACAGGUCUUUUCCCAGGAUCUUACCUGACUCUUCUUAUUUUCCCGUAGCUAUCCUAAAUUCUUUUUGAAGUUUGACGUAAGAAUGAGUUAUCGUCAGUCAAAUGCCUUCUCCAAGAUCGUUUUCAAAUUCUUUUCAUUGUUGGCUCUACCUCUUCGCUUUUAAUUCUCCCGGAGUAUCUCAACAAUUCUUGGUGGUGUUUCUCCUCAUCAUUCUCGGAUUUUGAAGACCGAAGAAGAGUUUCUUUUAAAUAUUGCCCCAUUCUCUGCCAUCCUCUCAUAAUUGUUUUUGGUUGUGAGAUUUUUUCACCCAUCCGGAGCAAUUCAAGAUUCUGUUCAGUUUGAUUAUCUGGAGCCCAUCAUCUAAGAUUUAUUCAUUCCAGCUUUCAGCUAUCAUACUCUCAAUCUUACCGGUGCAUCAUUCAAUAUUCUCUAAUCAGUUCGUGAUCCCUUCGUUCACUUGUAUCUAAAUUCCCUCAGGUAUCUUUGCUCAUUUUCCAAUUCCUCCUGCUGAUGUGUUCGUUUUUCUUCGUUCAUUUUCAAUUCUUACGGUGGUUCAUUCAAGAGUUCUCUUCUUGGGUUACCAAAUCUUUUAUUCGUUGUUUCAAUCCCACCAGUGGUUCCAUAAAUACCUUCUCAAGUUUACGCUAUAUCUCUCAUCAAUCCUUUCCAACCGGAAUAAGUAAUAUGCCAAAUCCGUUGGUUGUCAUCAAUGUAAUUGGUGAAGGAUGAGCAUAAUGUAAUUCUUAUUCUUGUUUCAUCAAGUAAAUUCAAUUCUUUAUUCCGGAGGUCCAUCAAAAUUCUCGGUUUCAAUUGUUUCAUCUUCUCUUUUUCCCGGAGUUCCAACCUUUACAAUUUUUUCACCACGGAGUUUCAUCUAAAUCGGUACAAGGAUUCACCUUGUGUUUUCAACUUCUCUUUCUUUCCGUUUGAUCAUUCUUUGUUUAACGGAGUUCUUCAUGAAGGUUCUACAUGAUGGUUCAUUAAGAAUUUAAUUCCUUCUUGAAGUGUUCAUCAACAUUCUUUUCAGAGGAGCUCAUGCUUUCUUCAUCUUGCAAUCCGGAGUGCAAUUCUUUCUACCGUAUCAUUGGAGGUGGUAUUAUGUCAUUCUUGAUAAUUUGAGCUCAUGUUUCAUGAUUCACAUGUUGUUAAGAAUGAGGUAUUUUAAACCCAUCACCUUCUUCCUUGGAGUUAUCUUGGGUUAUGCUUCACCUAAAGCCUUCCCUAAGGAUUGUUGCUAUCUAUGGUGCUCAUAAAUGACCCAAGUUCUUUCAUUUAUCCCCCCGGUGAGAUAAGUUUCUCGUCUCCUUGUUCAUAUCAAUCCAAUCUUUUGUUUUCGUUAGUGGCAGAAUUUCACCUCAUAAUUUCGAGAUGUUUUCCAUAAGCCCACAACAAGCUUACUCUUUUCAUUGUUGGUUUUUCCAACAACUCCGUUCGAACCUUCUCCUAAGGAUGCCUUUUCAAGCUCUUUUGUGACAAAAGUUGGCAUUUUCUUCUCCAUUCUUUUAUUUCAAUUAUCUAUCUUCUAUUUCUUCCUUCCGGAGGCUUUGUGAUGUUCCUCUCUUCAACCCAUCUUCUUGUUUUGUCAGGAUCGUGUUCUUUUCAUGCUUAUCCUUUUAACCGGGGUGUGAGGUCCUCUGCUCAAGUUCUUUUCUACUUAUCUAUUCUUGCUUCUCUUUUCUACCGGAGUGCUAUCCGAAUUUGUUCUUCCUUGUUCCUAUUUUCUAACGGAGUGUUCUCAACUUUGUUCAUCUCUGUUGUUUUUCUUUCUUUCAAUUUAUUCAACCUUUCAAGGUUCGUGGUUUCACUCGUUUGUCAAAGAAGCAACUUAGUUUUACUUCUUCUCUUCCUCUUCCUUUUCCCUCCGGUGCCAUCCUGGAUCUCGGGACGAGAUCCUCUCGUAGUGGUGGAGUGUUGUAACGCCCCAAGACCGGAGCUUCAGUUACCUUCCAGGGUUCCCAGGUUUCUCUGUGUGUUUUAUUUUUACUUGCUCCUUUUAUGUUUGCUUUGCAUCAUGUCAUCAUGUCAUAAAUCUUUUGCAUCUCAUCUAAAUAAAUGGCAUGGAUCUUUGAUCCAUUUAAACCGAGGGAGUUCACUUGGUGAUUCUCUUUAUAACAUAUCCUCCCGUUAUUAGGGAGCUAUUAUAAAUAUUUCCAUUCUUUUGAAUUUACCCAUGAACACACUUACAAAUAAUCACAUGCCUUUUCUCGCUUCGAGUUUGGUCCCCAAACUUUGCCUUUAUCCUUUCUCCAUUUUCCGGAGUUCCACCAAUAUUCCGAACAUUCUUGGACUCUCCAAAAAUGUUUUCCUAAUUCAAACUCAUUUGAAUCACAUUCAAAUGUGUUCGAAUGCAAUCCUUCCAAAUGGUGCCAAAUGUAUUUUUCUUGGAUCAAGCUCAUUUUUAUGAGUCCAAGAAAAUUGGCGCCCUGCUCAAUUUCUUCUCCUAUCUCUCUCUACAUUUCUUAUUCCUCG